GCCCUCGUGCUGUAGAGUGGCCGUAACAGCAGUAAGAACAGCAGCAGCGAAGUCAGCCGCCGGCCCGCCGCGCUAGCGCAAGCGUAGCAGCUGCGCGAGCCACCCGCCCGCCUCCAGCCCACCAUCCCGCGAGCGCCUGAUUCCCGGGGAACAGCCACCUGCAGCAGCAGCCUCUCCAGCCGCUACCGUCGCCGCCGCCGCCUGGCGGGGAGCACCAGGGCAAGGCCCACUUGCCUGGUUAAGCCGAAGACCCAGCUGCACCUGGUUGCAGCCUCCUGGGCCACUCAAGUAUCGAGAGGCUUCAGAAGAACUCAUUGUUAUAGAAAUAUAGCUAUAGACUGUGCCUGAGGCUCUGACUCCUGAGAAGCCAGCCAGCACCAGAGGAAAGAAGCAGAAAAGAGGUGAUCCUGUGGUAGAAGAUGAGCAGCACCAGUGCAAGAUCCAACUGCCUGACUCAGCCAGUAGUGAAGAGUGUGCUGGUGUAUCGCAAUGGGGACCCCUUCUUUGCUGGACGCAGAGUGGUCAUCCAUGAGAAAAAGGUGUCCAGUUUUGAUGUCUUUCUGAAGGAGGUGACAGGUGGGGUUCAGGCCCCCUUUGGAGCUGUCCGAAACAUCUAUACCCCUCGGUCAGGCCACCGAAUCCGGAAGCUAGACCAGAUUCAGAGUGGGGGGAACUACGUGGCAGGGGGCCUGGAAGCCUUCAAGAAACUCAACUACCUAGACAUAGGAGAACCAAAGAAGAGAUCAGUGGAAGUUGUUAAUUCAGAGGUAAAACCUGUAAUCCACAGUAGGAUCAACGUAUCAGCACGUUUCAGGAAACCACUUCAGGAGCCCUGUACUAUCUUCUUGAUUGCUAAUGGAGAUCUUAUAAGUCCAGCAUCGCGCCUCUUCAUCCCUAGAAAAGCCUUGAGUCAGUGGGAUCUUGUACUUGAAAUGGUCACACAGAAAAUAACUUUAAGGAGUGGAGCUGUGCAUAGACUCUAUACUUUAGAAGGAAAACUUGUCCAAAGUGGGUCGGAGUUGGAGAAUGGACAGUUUUAUGUAGCAGUUGGCAGAGACAAGUUUAAGAAAUUGCCGUACAGUGAUUUACUUUUUGAUAAAUCAACAAUGAGAAGGCCUUAUGGUCAGAAAGCCUCUUCAUUACCUCCUAUUGUUGGAUCCAGAAAAUCUAAAGGGAGUGGAAAUGAUCGUCAGUCCAAGUCAACUAUUGGUUCCAGUGACAACUCAUCCCCUCUGCCUCCUAAGAGAAGGGGAAAGAAGGAGGAAGUUUUGAAUUCAGAAAAACCUGGUAAAGUGACACAAAAUACAAACCCAAAGACUCCACCAACUGUGGUAACACCACCAAACAAUGAUGAAGGCAUUUUCAAAGCGGGAACAGAGAGAUCUGAAAUGGAGGGGGCAGCAGAAGUACAAGAAGAUGAAGACACUCAAGUUGAGAUUCCAGUCGAUCAGAGGCCAGCAGAAAUAAUAGAUGAGGAAGAAGGUGGAGGGAAAGAAAAUGAGGAUAUAGAAGAAGAGAAGGAAGAAGAGAAGGAAGCUUUACCAGAAGUAAAUGGUGAUAUUGAAGAAAAAGAAGUGGAAGAAGGUCCUAAAGAAGGGAAUAUUGGUCCCCCUAGAGUCAAUGGUGGCACAAAUGAAGAAAAUGGUGAGGAACUGGAUGAAGUUAACAACGAUGAGCAUCAUCAAGUGAAAGAGGAAGAGAUAACAUUAGCAAAAGGUGAUGGUGAUGGUGAUGGUCCAAAGGAGGAUGAAUCAGAUCCUCAAAGACCACCAAGGCCUGAAGUAAAAAUCACUAGUCCGCAGGAAAAUGAUAACAAUGAACAAAACAAGGAGUAUGCUGCUGUGGCAUAGACGCUUAAAAAUGUGGAUUAUAAGAAAAAUUAAGGGUUUCAUAUGAUACUUGAAUUCUAAACACUGUUAUUUGUGGUUGUUACAAUAAUGUGGCAAUAUGGCUGAAUACUACCUAUCGAGUUUCAAAAUUAUAAUGAAGAAUUGAAAGAAUAAUCACAUUGAUAUCUAUUUCCCCAACUGGUGUGUUUUAAAGCCAUCUAAAAGAGUUAAAUGUUCUCAAUUAUCUGCAUGUUAGAAACAAAGUUUCUCACAAAAUACAGAUUCUCAGAAAACCAAGGGAAAAGACAAAGAAGGUAUAUAAAAAUAUUUACCCCACUGCCCAGUUCAUUAGGUUUGCUAUAUAAUUCCCACUAGAAAAAUAAAAUUUGACAGCUUUGACCUUAGAGAUUAGUUGGUCCAACCUCUUCAUAUUUCAGGUGAGGAAUUUGUGGCAAAGAGUGGAAAAGUGGCUUGUUAAAGAUUGCAUGACUAGUUAGUGACAGGACUAGAAUACAAAGCCACUGACUUUCUAUUAUACUGCAUUGACCCGAUUGCUUUAUAUCUCAGCUUAUUUUCACAAAUGGGUCAAUUAAAGUUACAAGUGACAAAAAAGUAAAACGACUUUUCUAUUUUAGUUAUGAGUAAUAUUUGCUACUUUAAAUCUUUAAAAUAGCAAACAGUUAAGAGAAAAAUUUGGGGAGAAAUGCUGGAACAUUAAUGAAACCUAUUUCUGAGUAACCUCUUACCUUAACUUUUGUUUUGUUAGUAACUAAAUGUGAAAUAAUCAGAACUUGUAGAGCCCAUUUGGCCUCAAGAUUGCAUUUACUUUGGUAGAUAUUUGGAAAAUAUGUAUUGCCAUUAGUUUUUUGAAUGACUAAGGAAUAACACUACUGCGCUAAUAGAAAUAAUGCAUUUUUCUUAUAUGAGUAUUUUCAUUAAUUAGACAGGCAAUAGAUGAGACUGUACUUCUUGGAUACAAGUAUUGUUACAGCUAUUGCAUUUUAUGGUUGUAAGUGCCUUUAACUGGUUAAUUAGUAAAUCAUUCAUUC